GACGAACGCUGGCGGCGUGCCUAAUACAUGCAAGUCGAGCGCAGGAAACUGACGGAACUCUUCGGAGGGAAGGCAGCGGAAUGAGCGGCGGACGGGUGAGUAACACGUAAGGAACCUGCCUCAAGGAUUGGGAUAACUCCGAGAAAUCGGAGCUAAUACCGGAUAGUUCAACGGACCGCAUGGUCCGCUGAUGAAAGGCGCUCCGGCGUCACCUUGAGAUGGCCUUGCGGUGCAUUAGCUAGUUGGUGGGGUAACGGCUCACCAAGGCGACGAUGCAUAGCCGACCUGAGAGGGUGAUCGGCCGCACUGGGACUGAGACACGGCCCAGACUCCUAUGGGAGGCAGCAGUAGGGAAUCUUCCACAAUGGACGAAAGUCUGAUGGAGCAACGCCGCGUGAGUGAUGAAGGUUUUCGGAUCGUAAAACUCUGUUGUAAGGGAAGAACACGUACGAGAGGGAAUGCUCGUACCUUGACGGUACCUUACGAGAAAGCCACGGCUAACUACGUGCCAGCAGCCGCCGUAA
rnacentral:rRNA from 1 species